rnacentral:rRNA from 1 species
AGGAACAUGUGGUUUAAUUCGAUGAUACGCGAGGAACCUUACCUGGGCUUAAAUGUAGAGUGCAUUUUCUAGAGAUAGGAAUUCCCUUCGGGGCUUUCUACAAGGUGCUGCAUGGUUGUCGUCAGCUCGUGCCGUGAGGUGUCGGGUUAAGUCCCAUAACGAGCGCAACCCUUAUCGUUAGUUGCCAUCUGGUAAAGCAGGGGACUCUAGCGAAACUGCCACCGUAAGGUGAGAGGAAGGUGGGAUGACGUCAAGUCCUCAUGGCCUUUAUAUCCUGGGCUACACACACGCUACAAUGGCCAACACAAUAGGUUGCUAAGCCGCGAGGUGGCGCCAAUCCAUAAAGUUGGUCUCAGUUCAGAUUGUAGGCUGCAACCCGCCUGCAUGAAGAUGGAGUUGCUAGUAACCGCAGGUCAGCUAUACUGCGGUGAAUACGUUCCCGGGGCCU